UAUUUACUGCCUCCAUCCGAAAAUACUUGUCCGAGAAAUGAAUGUAUCUAGAUGUAUUUUAGUUCUAGAUACAUCCAUUUGUAUCCAUUUAUACGUAUUUCUGGACGGAGGGAGUAUUUA
rfam:Triticum aestivum genome assembly, contig: Triticum_aestivum_CS42_TGACv1_scaffold_290186_4AL